UAAUUUAAUUUGAUGUGCUAAUAAACCAUUAGUAAGUAUAGUUUGAUUAGGGCAAGAUUUAUUAUUAUUUUUAUUUUUUUUGAAAAAGGCUUGAUUAGGGCAAGAGUUCUGUAUUAAACUUCACUGAUGGCACUACUGACUAGAUAUCUAUGCACACAUUACAUUUGCAUAACUAAAGAUUUUGAAAAUUUGAGUCGGUGUUGAUCUAAUAGAUGAAAAAACGAAGAAAUGUACGCAAACUUAAUUAGUAGUAAGCGUAGGAAAUAAAAGUUUCCUUAUCAAGAAAAUUAUUGUGGUCUUAAUCAAAAAGCCAAGU
rnacentral:lncRNA from 1 species